AGCAUGCUCCAUAACAGCACUGUAUAGUCUGAAAGGUUUAGGAUGUAAGGGUUUAUGAUCACCAAAUUUUACCAGAAUAGGGGAAUGAUCAGAUACCAAAGGGUUCAUGUAAUCAGCUUCCAGAUGUCCAAACUGCUGCAGCCAUUGAUAGUUGCCCAGUGCCCAGUCAAUCUUACUAUAUACUCUAGUAUCUGCAUCCUGCUUAUUUGUCCAAGUAUAGUGCCAACCUGUAGCUCUUAGUGCAGUAAGUUGUAAAUCAGACAUUGUAUCUUUGAAAUCCUUCACUUCAGCCUCUGUAACUAGG
rnacentral:lncRNA from 1 species